rnacentral:rRNA from 1 species
UACGAAGGGGGCUAGCGUUACUCGGAAUUACUGGGCGUAAAGGGCGCGUAGGCGGCGCUCCAAGUUAGGCGUGAAAGUCCUGGGCUCAACCUGGGAACUGCGCUUAAGACUGGAGUGCUAGAGGAUGGAAGAGGGUUGUGGAAUUCCCAGUGUAGAGGUGAAAUUCGUAGAUAUUGGGAAGAACACCGGUGGCGAAGGCGGCAACCUGGUCCAUUACUGACGCUGAGGCGCGAUAGCGUGGGGGAGCAAACAGG